rnacentral:rRNA from 1 species
GUGGGGAAUAUUGGACAAUGGGCGAAAGCCUGAUCCAGCAAUGCCGCGUGAGUGAUGAAGGCCUUAGGGUUGUAAAGCUCUUUUACCAGGGAUGAUAAUGACAGUACCUGGAGAAUAAGCUCCGGCUAACUCCGUGCCAGCAGCCGCGGUAAUACGGAGGGAGCUAGCGUUGUUCGGAAUUACUGGGCGUAAAGCGCACGUAGGCGGUUACUCAAGUCAGAGGUGAAAGCCCGGGGCUCAACCCCGGAACUGCCUUUGAAACUAGGUAACUAGAAUCUUGGAGAGGUCAGUGGAAUUCCGAGUGUAGAGGUGAAAUUCGUAGAUAUUCGGAAGAACACCAGUGGCGAAGGCGACUCACUGGCCCAAUACUGACGCUGAGGCGCGAAAGCGUGGGGAGCAAACAGGAUUAGAUACCCGGGUAGUCC